UACAGAGGGUGCGAGCGUUAAUCGGAAUUACUGGGCGUAAAGCGUGCGUAGACGGUUAUUUAAGUCGGAUGUGAAAGCCCCGGGCUUAACCUGGGAAUGGCAUGGGAAACUGGCGGGCUGGAGUGUGGCAGAGGGGGGUGGAAUUCCGCGUGUAGCAGUGAAAUGCGUAGAGAUGCGGAGGAACACCGAUGGCGAAGGCAGCCCCCUGGGCCAACACUGACGCUCAGGCACGAAAGCGUGGGGAGCAAACAGG
rnacentral:rRNA from 1 species